rnacentral:tRNA from 1 species
GGAUUGUAGCUCAGUGGUAGAGCACUUGCCUAGCAUGUGUCAGGCACUGGGUUCAAUUCUCAGCACCA